rnacentral:lncRNA from 1 species
UUUUCAUAAAUGCAAUCUAUUUAUUAUUUCUGUCGCUUUUUGGACUUACUCCUUUUCUAUUAGGGCCUAGUAGUGCAUUGAGCUGAGGUCAGUAAUUGCCCACUGGGAACUAUAAAUUAUAGUUCUCACGCCCUCUGUUUCAUAUUUUUAUUCUAGAGCCUUCCACGCCGAGAGAGGCUAGGGAUCGUGGAAAGGGAUUUGCCUCGAGCUAGCUUGCUUUGAGGGACGCGUCGAUAGGUGGUCCACCUCUCUAUUGUAUUUUAUUUUGGAGAGGUUGUGAGAGAUUUGUACCCAUUUUGUAGAGACCCCCCCCUUUAUAUGUAUCUUGAGGCUUUUGUUGUACUUUUUAUGUAAGGUACCGGACUUCUAAAACUAGGAAGUUAUGGUGUACAAUGAUUUGGGGAGCCAUUUGAAUGGUCCCGAUGGAGAAUGUAACAUACCAGAUUUUGGUAUAAAAAUAAUAAAUAAAUAAAAAUAGUGUGGGAUACUAUUUUUAUUGGAUUUAGAGAAAUAAAACAUAAGUCUAGAAUUGACUUGUGCUGAAAUCGGA